rnacentral:rRNA from 1 species
CACGGGGGGAGCAAGCGUUGUUCGGAUUCAUUGGGCGUAAAGGGCUCGUAGGUGGCUUUGUAAGUCGGAGGUGAAAUCCCACGGCUCAACCGUGGACACGCCUUCGAAACUGUGAAGCUUGAGGCUGGGAGAGGAAAUCGGAAUUCCUGGUGUAGCGGUGAAAUGCGUAGAUAUCGAGAGGAACAUCAGUGGCGAAAGCGAAUCUCUGGGCAACAUCUGACGCUGAGGCACGAAAGCCAGGGGAGCAAACGGG